rnacentral:lncRNA from 1 species
GGGGGGGGUGUGUGCGUGUGUAGAGGCAGUUUUACUAUCCAUAGUCCUACAUUAAUCUCUAUGGUCUGCUGCUUACCAUGGUACCUAGCACUCAGAAUGCUUUAUGUCCUAUCACUGACCACAACUGAAGAACGAUACUCUACUUUUUUUAUAGUUCUGCAAAUUAUAUAUUCUCGUUUCAAUAAAUGGUUAUUAUGGCUAAAUGUGUUCGUUUUUAUUGAGAUGUACACUCAUCUCUGCUUAGAUAUGAUAUGUCCCUCCGCUUCCUAUAAGCAGCUACUGCUUGCCUCAGGGAUGUCUGUGGGUCUCUAGAGUUGUGUGUUAUUUGGCUUUAUAGACAGUCACACCCCAGCACUUUAUUUUAAUUUAUUGUAG